UGGGGAAUAUUGGACAAUGGGCGAAAGCCUGAUCCAGCCAUGCCGCGUGUGUGAAGAAGGUCUUCGGAUUGUAAAGCACUUUAAGUUGGGAGGAAGGGCAGUAAGCGAAUACCUUGCUGUUUUGACGUUACCGACAGAAUAAGCACCGGCUAACUCUGUGCCAGCAGCCGCGGUAAUACAGAGGGUGCAAGCGUUAAUCGGAAUUACUGGGCGUAAAGCGCGCGUAGGUGGUUCGUUAAGUUGAAUGUGAAAGCCCCGGGCUCAACCUGGGAACUGCAUCCAAAACUGGCGAGCUAGAGUAGGGCAGAGGAUGGUGGAAUUUCCUGUGUAGCGGUGAAAUGCGUAGAUAUAGGAAGGAACACCAGUGGCGAAGGCGACCACCUGGGCUCAUACUGACACUGAGGUGCGAAAGCGUGAGGAGCAAACAGG
rnacentral:rRNA from 1 species